rnacentral:rRNA from 1 species
UCGAGGAUCUUCGGCAAUGGGGGCAACCCUGACCGAGCGAUGCCGCGUGCGCGAUGAAGGCCUUCGGGUUGUAAAGCGCUUUAGGGGGGGAGAAAAGCCGCAAGGUGUGAUCUAUCCCCAAAAUAAGCUCGGGCUAAGUUCGUGCCAGCAGCCGCGGUAAGACGAACCGAGCGAACGUUGUUCGGAAUCACUGGGCUUAAAGGGCGCGUAGGCGGGCUGUCCAGUCUGGGGUGAAAUGCCGCGGCUCAACCGCGGAACGGCCUCGGAUACUGACGGCCUCGAGGGAGGUAGGGGCAUGCGGAACUGUGGGUGGAGCGGUGAAAUGCGUUGAUAUCCACAGGAACUCCGGUGGCGAAGGCGGCGUGCUGGACCUCUUCUGACGCUGAGGCGCGAAAGCUAG